CUGAGAUUUAGUUUCCAGACAGGGAGAGCAUUGCACUCCGAGGAUUUGUGGAGACAGAAUCACCCAUUUCAGUCUGAGGCAGAGAAGCUUCUCAGUUUCAGGAGGUCCCAUUUAUUGUCUAUCUCAGUGUCUGUGCUCCUGGAUGCCCCUCAACUGAAGAAUGGAUAGAGAAAAUGUGUUACAUUUACACAAUGGAGUACUACCUCAGCGGAAAAAAACAAAACAAAAAAACAAUGGAAUCUUGAAAUUCGUAGGCAAAUGGAAGGAACUAGAAGAAACCAUCCUGAGUGAGGUAACCCAGUCACAAAAAAGACAAACAUGAUGGGGCUCCAGGAUGACAAAGGGUUAUCUCUGUCCUCAAGAGGCUAGUGGUCUUAACCCAGCUUCUGGAUGAUGUGUGCAUACGACAGCAGCUUCACCGAGGGAGAGCAGAGGAGCAGUUGCAGGAGAAAGAUGCAGAUCUGGAAUGCCAGCCUCCACAAAUGCAUUUUUUAUACACAGAUGUGCAUUCCUCUGUAGUUUCAGACAUUGCAAUAUGCAUUCAAGGGCUAUCUGGGCCAUUUUUAAUGAUUUUUAUAUGCUAUGAUGAACCUCCUUCAAACCUAACCCAAAGCAUAAUAAAUACCAUCCACCUGCUGCUUUAUGCUUCAAGAACUCUUCCUAGUCACUUCUCAAGGUGGGAUGGUCACUGAUACUUUAGAGAGAGGCUGGAGCCCUAGAAAGAGACUUCUCUCUAAGUCACUGGGAAUAAGUGGCAGAGUACUUUCUUCCCCUGACCCCUGUAUGUGCUCUGUGGGAGAACAAGCUGGAACUGUGCCAGGAUCCAAGGGCUGCUCUCCCAAGCUUACUAGCUCAGUGACUCCCUCUUCUAACAAGGGCCCUCUUCUCCUGUUCUCUGGAAGCACUGAUUUAAAGGGCUAGAAGCCCUUUACUUUGGAUGGCACCAGGACAGUUUGCACUGUUACACAGGUGUACUUCUACAGGGUGGAAUCUGAAGGAGUCCUUACACACAGGUCCUUCAAGUCUUCACUCUUCAAAGGCAAUGGGACUUGAACCCAGGAGCCUGCAUUCUACCAGUGAGCUAUGUCCCCAGGCCAAAGAGUUUUCUCAUAGAUGCUCAGCAGCUCCUCUCUUCUACUAUUCCCUCCAUGGCAUGAAUCAGUGUCCUGAUGACAUGCUUCUAAAUUUAGUCAGCAACUCCAGCCACUGCCCUGAAAGACAUUAUAGAAGGAAAUUUGGAGCUAAGAAUACCUUCUGGUCACCUCUGUUCUCUUCUCCAUCUCAGC
rnacentral:lncRNA from 1 species